CUAUUUAAAAAGAAGAGGUAGAAGAGAAACAGAAGAUCUUCCCAAUGCAAAAACACAGAAAUGGACCUCUUCUGGCUCACUACCGAAGAACAAAAAAACGCGCCCCACGUGUCAUAACAAACCGCGAUAUUACGACUUGAAAGAGAUGGCAUCUGAAGAAAUUGAAGCACAAAUAUCUAACCUAGGCUCCGAUCUUGAACAAAAUUUAAGGACAAGGGAAUCAACACCCCGAGAGAGAUCGUCAUCUAGAGUACGAUCCAGAAGUGAAAGUACACACAAGGGCCGAGGACGAAAUAAAAGUAAAAUAUCGAGUAUACACACUGAUGAAUCGUAUACAGGUCUUUCUUUUAAUUCACUCCCAUCAUCAACAUCGCACUGGACAUUAAUUUGUCUUGAGUCGGUUGGAGUAUACUACAAGGACAAAGCAUUGUCUGUUCCAGGUGUCUUCGAUAUGGUUUACGAACAUACAGGGUUGUUCGAAACUCCAAGUUCUGAUCAAAUAGAGUUUGUGAAGAAACUUAAGGACGAAAUCACGUUCUCUUUCUCCAUAUCCGAUCUGAGUAGAUACAAUAACAAAGGCUUCUAUCGAGAAACUUUCCAGAAUUUGAAAAAAGAUCUUCCGAGCCCAGUUGAAGAUUUUACAACAAGUACAUUAUUGCUGGUACAUUAUGCAAUAGAAAGAGAAAAGUAUGGAGGAAAAAUAUCAGAGGCUGUGUUUAAGGAUUUGUUUAAAUCUUUUGUGAAGAUGGUUAAUCUAGUUCCUGGUCAAGGUGAGGAAUGGACGUCCCAAAUGACAAUUCUACAGCAGGAUGUUACAUCAGAAUCUAAUGUUGUUAUAAUGACAAAAGAUUUUCUUAACAGUAUUCCUCCAAGUAUAGUAUCUGUUGUUUCCAUUGUAGAGGUGAAAAACUUAUGUGGAGGUGUAAAUGAGAGCAGUCAUUUGAAAACCCACAUGAAGACAAGACCAAUAAGGGGAGCAGAUUUAGAAACUGCAAGUUCAUGCUCUGAAAAAUCAGUACAUGAAGAACCAGCUAUUUAUAGAAGAAUUCCUCAGGCUGUUCUAGGACAACAUGGUGGAGAACUUUUAGUACAUGCUAGAGCAUAUGGAGGCAGAUUUGCUAGUAAAAAAAAGCGCUGUAGACUGCAUCCAGGAAUGAUAGUGAUAGGAACUCGAGUAACUCUAACUGUUCUAGAAUACAAUUUUGACCACAUGGAUGAAUUACAAAACAACAGUGAGAACGAAAAUUCCAGAAGCUAUAUAUAUUAUUCAGAACCAAAAGAUUUUUUGAAGAAAGAAGAUCGUGAUUUGUUAAUGGAGUCGUUCAUACGACUAAGUAACAUUAAACCUGAAUGCUGACAGAAUUAAGAUAUAAUGAAGAAAUAUCUUCCUGAAGAUCUAAUUAAUGUCUGCAAAGAUAUUAAAGGUGAAGGGAACACAAGCUAUCAUGCUUUAAGGAAAAGAUACAGAAACACAAGCUCCUGUAGACAGUCAUGCAAAGGAAGAUGCUUUUGUAAUAUAUGUUGAUGUUAUAAAUUAUGACAAAUCAAUUAACAACAAUAUGUUCUACGAAUUUCCUAGUUUCAUAAAUCAUAUUAUAAAAGUUGAAAAUGUCAUUUGAUUAAUAAUUAUGCAAAAUUUAAGAAAAUGGGGCAAAUGAAAGGAAAAUACAUUUUUCAAAAAUAUACAUAUUUCAACUAUUUCAACAUGUAGUGGGGAAUACCUGGUGUUCCUCUGGUUUCAAAUCUAGUAGAUUUACUACCCUCAUUUCUUGAUUUAUUUUUAUGAAAUUUAUUGCAUAUCAGAAUUGUCUCAAACAAGUUAGAAAGUCAGCUAUUUUUAUUGGGGACGAGUCUAGGGGACCAUUACAUUCACAAACAAAAUUCUAGUCUUUUUUUUAUGAAAAAAAAUUUUAAACUUUGAAAUUUUAACAUUUUAUUGUGAAUUUCAUUUGAAAACAAUUAAAAUCCCAUUAGACAAUAUAGACAUCAAAGAGAUUUUAUUAGACAAAAACUGCCACAUUAAAUAUUCCAAUUGUCAAUGUGGCUGGGUCACUCAUAUUAUAUAAUAAGAACAAUAAAUAUGUUUUGACAAUGAAAAAGAUGACUGGUGCAACACAGAAUUGAAAAGAGAGAGAAAUGCAUUACAUUGUUCUUACAAAACGGUAAUUUGACAAUAAAUUUGGGAGUCUCUGACUGAAAUCUUGUCACAUGGCACCUUGUAUACAGAUUAGGUCAUGCAUGCUGUAUAAAUAUAUAUCUAAUGUUUUCUGCAAAAGUUUGUUUUAAUGAACACUUAUAAUGUACAUAGUACCUACAUACAUGUAUUCUCAUAUUAACUAUAAUUAGAUUGAUUAAGACUACUGUUUGAAAUGCUUUAAUUGAACAUUAACAAAUCAAUGAGUCAAGUUGUGAUGAAGUAGCUCUGUUUAAAUUAUUGAGACAUUGUGUAUUUUUUAUCACUGCUUGUUAAUAAUUAUAUGACAUGUACCGGUAUGUGUAACCAGAUACCAACCCCUAUACAUUCAAAUAGACGUUAAGUAAUGUCAAUUAAUUCUUUUUUGAACUGACUACAUCAUGCUGGUCAGAUGAUGUGCUUGUAGGGUGAUGCCUUUAUUGUUAUUAAGGCAACUUACAUACAUUGUAUUUCUAGCUAUUCCAUAAAUAUGUAAGGGCUAUUCCAGUAAAACAUGUAAAAAAAAGGGGGGGGCUGGUGUUAGUUGGUUGGAAGGCACUUUGUAUUAAUAAUACAUGGGUGAUGGGUAUCAGAGCAACUUUUUACACUAUAAUGCACUAUGAUUCUCAAUUACAAUUGACUGGGUGGCAGGUGCUGAAACAAACUGCCUUCCACCCCCCUCUUCCCCCAUACAUUUUUUUCUGGAAUAGCCCUAAUGUAACGUAUGCCUUAGUGUCAAGUUUUGUUGGGAUAGAUGGAAAAAAAAUCCCUUCUGAUUUUUUUAAUUUUUUAGUUGUGUCAUUCCUCGAUUUUAAGUCUCAGAUUUAUGAUAUUUUUCACAUUUCACACACUUAGUCCAGUAUGCUUGUAUGGAUUUCAUCAAAUUUUUACACUAUUGUUUAAAAAGAUUUAUAAGAGAAAGCUCCCAUAAGCAAAGAAAAAUGUUUUCUGGUUGUCGUUCAAGAUUUACAGGCUUUUUAAGAAUGUUCGCUCCUCUGUUUCAAAAUAACAAGCUUUUUGAAAGACUGUUAUUAAUUGAUAGUAUAAAAAAACAAGGAUUUUAUAAGAUUUUCAAAAAUGGAUUUUUAUGCCAUAUAUGUAAUAAAAUUAUGAACAUAAAAGUUGGGGUUAGCAGGCAAAAUCUUUUAAUAGCACUACAUGGAUAAAACUAUGAGGAUUCCGAAUAUCUGACUUCUGGUGAAAGUAAGAAACUGUAACAUUUUGAAGAUUUUCUGAAUUUUCAUUUCAGAUUUAUGGUACCCUGGUACUCUGUCAGAUUGAUAAAAGCCAUGCACUAGCUCUUGUAUGCUUAGAUCAAACCACUUCAAACUUGCACUGCUUUUGGGAUUAGUUAAUUUUCUGGUUUACAUUUCAAGAGUUAUGGGAAUUUUAAACAGUUAUAUUUGACGGAACAUUUAUAUCAUAUAUGCCUAAGGAUUUUCUCAUGCACGACUUUCUACAGAGCUUUUUUAUUUAUUUCUGAUAUAUAAAAAAGAAGAUGUGGUAUGAUUGCCAAUGAGACAACUCUCCACAAGAGACCAAAUGACACAAAUUAACAGCUAUAGGUCACUGUAUGGCCUUCAACAAUGAGCAAAGCCCAUACCGCUGCCUUCUAAAUAUUCCAUGAUAAAAUAGAACUAUUAAAAGUAUUGAUAUACCAUUUUUUUGCUGUCUCUUGAUCAUAUCUAAUAAUAUGCUUGCCUAUAGAUAAGUAAAAAAAAAGAUCACCAAUCAAAAUGUCACACAGAAUUUUGCAAUUUAUUUGUGCUUGUUGUUAAAAGAAAAUAUUUGUUGCAUGCUUAUUGCUUUGAUAGGUGUAAAUUUUAUUUGUGACAUACAUUUUAAAAAAACAAGUUGUAUUCCUCCCAGACGACAGCCAUUCUUUGUUUAAAAUGUAUCAUGUAUGUAUAUAGAAAGUGGUUCAAAAUAUUCUUAACAAAGGAAAUGAUAUCUGAAAUAAAUGUUUGUUAAUAAAUACUCAGUUUUAGUUAUUUUUAUUUAAUAUUAAAAAAGAUAGUGGAAGAUAAAAACUAUUUAUACAUUUAAAAAAUUGGUAACCCUAUGUCUCUUUGCAUUAGAAGUUGCAUGGUUUAGCAUUUAUAGAUGAAAGAUGAUUGUGAGUAAAGUUCAACAUGUGUACAUGUAAGACCUUUCCAUAAAUGCAUCUGUUGUAGUUUUAUUUAUAUUUAUUGAAAGUUUAGUAUAUAGCAACUGCAUGGAUCAUCUAUACACAUGAGAGAAUAUUUUGCUAUUAUUGAAAUGAUAAAUGUCAGUCAAACUUUCUUCAACUUGCAAAUAUAUCUCAAAUUGCAUAAAAGAAUAAGGAGAUGUGGUAUGAUUGGCUAUGACUGUCUAUUUAAGAAUCAGAUUUGUAAAAUUGCAGGUUAACAUACAGCUUGCAUUAUUUACAUGUA